UGCUUUGUUUUAAUCCGGAUUUGACCAAAUUUGAUUAGGUGCAACCCAAGAGGAUUAGGCUUAGAUGAUGUGGCAAUUAGUGGUGACAUGGAAUUGGAUUUCAUGAAUUUUAAAUAAACCAAAAUUAUUGCAUGGCGCAUGGACCCAUUGCUUGACAUAUGGCGAUAUUGUUUGUUGUUUGAAUUUGAAUUCAAACAUUAAGCA
rnacentral:lncRNA from 1 species